CCUACGGGUGGCAGCAGUGGGGGAUAUUGGGCAAUGGGCGCAAGCCUGAUCCAGCAACGCCGCGUGAAUGAAGAAGGCUCUCGGGUUGUAAAGCUCUUUCAACAGGGACGAAGGAAGUGACGGUACCUGAUCAAGAAGCCACGGCUAACUACGUGCCAGCAGCCGCGGUAAUACGUAGGGAGCAAGCGUUAUCCGGAUUUACUGGGUGUAAAGGGAGCGUAGACGGGAAAGUAAGUCUGACGUGAAAUGCCGGGGCCCAACCCCGGGACUGCGUUUGAAACUAUUGAUCUUGAGUGCAGGAGAGGCAGGCGGAAUUCCGAGUGUAGCGGUGAAAUGCGUAGAUAUAAGGAGGAACACCAGUGGCGAAGGCGGCCUACUGGACUGUAACUGACGUUGAGGCUCGAAAGCGUGGGGAGCAAACAGGAUUAGAUACCCGGGUAGUC
rnacentral:rRNA from 1 species